AUGACAUAAAUUAUUAUUUUUGAAGUAGCUAAUACAAAGAUAAUGACAAGGAAUCGUUGACUGGAUCUUUAGAGUAAGGAUUCCAAAUAGAUCUAUACAUGUUUACAUGUUCCCUGCAUAUCCCCUUAGGAGGACACAGAGAAACACUUCCUUGUUCUGAUUCUUACUUUGAUUAACAUUUGUUAAGCACUCAAUUUGUGCAGAGAACUAUGUGAGACACUGGAGUUGAAGAGGGAGAAGGAAGAAGAUGUACAAGGAGACAAUACAAGGUCCAACCAUUCAAAGAAGUGUUGUAUAGUUUUAAUGAAGGAGAUAAAAUUGUACACAGAUACUACAAGAGGCAAUGAAAGGAGGAAUUAAGAUAUUCUGAAUGAUGUAAUAAUUAUAGAAAUCACUAGCUUCAAAUUGCCAAAUCAGAACAUUACAGUUCUAAUCUACUGGGAUAGGGCAGGAGAGCAGUACAGAGGGAAUGUUAAAGAAUUAGAGCUCUCAAAUAGAAAUGAAAGUGGGUAUGACAGCAUUCUAUACAUUCCAGCCUUUUCAACAUCAUGGUGUAUGUGCAUAGAUAGAUAAAUAGAUAGGUAGACAUAAUUUUAUUUUUACAAUGCCUCAAGGCAUAAAGGAUUUGUGUCAGAGGAAAACAAGUCACCAGCGACCUAGGCCUUGUCCAGCUGCUUCCAAGGUUAACAGGACUGGUGCCCCUGAGGCCCACCAUACCCACUGGGAAGCUCUGCAUAUUUGAGACAUGCUCCUUACAUGGAUUUUCCCACUAGAGAGUCAGAAUCUCAAAUAUAAUAUGAAGGAAUGUUGGCCCAACACAGUUGACCACGGUACAUGUGAUGUGGCAUGGUUAGCAAGGCGAUAUGAGCCGGGAUGGAACUCCAGCCUGUACACUCACUAGCUUCCAUCACCUUGGCAAGUUAGCUCACUUCUCUAAGCUUCAUGAAAAUGUCACUAAUAAACUGGAAUGCCCUGCUGAGCCAUGUCGGAGCCUGAAACAAAACGAAGACUGCAUGUUCCUAUAUACGUUAUCAAAAUAGCCCCCUUUAUUGUGAAUCAAACGGGAAUAGUUAACUGGAGCUUUUCAGGGACAAAUCAUGACUUCUGUUUAAAGCUCUGCAUUGCCCAAUCUGUUUGCAUGACAUUAUCAACCCUAAUAAACUGGCUGGUGGGGCAUGCUGCUGAUUGGAAAUGACUGUUCCUGUUGCACAAUAACACAGAGUUGUAGAACAAAACAGCCUGUUUUUAUUUAAAAUUAUGGUGUUUAUGCUUUGCGAAUGCUUGGCAUUAAUUUGUUUUUAAAUAUUUCAUUAAAAUAUUAUUUACAUUGAGUGCUGGGUUUUUUUGGUUCCCCAUUAAAUGUUGCUUGCCCCUGUGGUGAAUGCCUCACUCUCUUCACCCUAAUUGGGGUUCCAAAAAAUGUACUUUGAAGGACCACUAUAACUACAAAUAAAGACUAUAAAAUAUCUUUAUAAAAUCUGUACUUAAAAAUAAUAGUCAUUGCUAUAUGAUUUUAUAAUACCUAACAGAUUCCUUAGCUAUUAGUGAAUGUGUUUUCUGAGAGUCCCUGAAAAAGCAGUGUGAAAGAGAACAAUACGCAGUUUAUUCAACAUGCUGAAAAGAUACACAGUGAGUUCUGAAAUCUGCCUCCGAUCCUGUCACCAAGGAAAUGCUGAUGACCCUUAACCAGAAUAUACAAGGGAAAGGUGCUGGCCCAGCUGGGAUUUCUCUUCUUCCAAGUUCUGGGAACUCUCUUGUGUAUCCAAGAAAAUCUGCUCUCUGAUGUCCCCUCUGUCGCUUUAGACUCCCAACAAUUAUACUCAGAUAGCUUUUAGUCUUUGCUUGUACCAAAAAUGCUCGAAGUACUGAGUUUACCAAUAGAUUUCCAUAAAAAACUCUGAUUCCCUCCUUUAGGUUCAGCAAGAUGCUAAAGGACAGCUUGACUAAUUGUACCAUCAUUCCUUCUGUCUUCCUCAUAGGUAACUCUUCUUUCUGGGCCAAUAUUGAUUCUCUGUGGACAGACAUGAGGAUUUUAAAUUCCCUCUUUGGCAGGAAGAAUAACUUCCUGACAGAAGGGUGACCCAAUGUGUUUCCCUGUUAGCAGGUUCGCAGUGGUGGCUUCUUUCCUCAGCAUCAGCAUCAGCAGCAGCAGCUGGAAAGCAUUCCUAUUGAAGCACUUCACGUCCAAUACCGGGAGAGCUACAGAAAAUAAACUAACAUGAAACAUCUUCUGCCUUUGCCUCUGAGAAUGGUACCCUAGGGCAAUUUCAUGGCAAGCACAAUAAAGGCACCAAUGUGCAGUUGCAUUAAACAAAUACUGAAAAAUUAGCACAUUGACUAUUUCUAAUUAUCUCCAUUUAUUCUGUAAUGUGGUGUCUAGAGGAAAUGGUUCUGUGGUAAUUCUGCAAGAUGUUGCUUUCAGCCUGGGAAGACAAAUAAACAGGUACUACUUUAGCUUUUCCUUCUCUUGGUUGUUCACAGAGUGAAAAAAAAAAAACCCAACUUGUUUAAAAAUUGAAAAAAUAUUACCCAUCAAAAGAGAAAGUGCUUACAAAAGGAAAGACUUGACAAAAUGUAAUAUGUAGACACAGCACCAGGCUUUUCACUUCUGAUGAAUUUGCAGCCUAAAUACUAAAAUAUGCUGUUUCCCAUUUCACCUUGUUUCCACAGAGACCACGGCUGACAAAGAGCCCGUCACCAACAGUUACCGCCCUUUGUCUGCCCUGGAUGCUGAAGGCUGCAUGAGCAGAGAAUGAGCAAAUGUGGGAUAAAUAGUUCUGAAGGCUCCUUAGAUCCUUUGUAAUGUGACUUCAGAGGAAUUAGGGGAGAGGAUCAGUCUGCUAUAAGCACGAAGACUAGGUCUCCCAGCCCUCCUUUUACCAGACCAGCUUUUAUUUUUUAACAAACUUUGGACUUCUGUGUUGGAUUUUGUUUGAAUAAAGGGCUUUGUGGCAAAACCAAAAUAAAAUAAAAACGUCACAUAUUCUGUUUCAUUUUUCUGUAGGGUACAUGAAAUUUUGAUGUUAUGCUUUUGCAGCGGCCAUUUGAAUGUGUCAAUAUUGAUAUUAUUGUUUUCUAGUGAUGAUGCUUCCAUACAGACUAAAGAGCAAUGAUACAUAUAAAUCAUACAUGAGUACUAUGUAAAAUACAUUCCCUCAUCUACUCCCUGAGCCAACUCUGGCCAUCGUCACCCUCUUCUGAUGUCCCCUACGAUGCCUUCGUCCAUUCCAGGGAGAGAACAGAGUUCUCACAAGACCUGGGCUCAUCCCUGACUGCUCUCAAAUCAUUAGUAAUGGGAAAUCCAGAUGUACUUCCGAAGACCAGAGAAAUCCACAGUGGCUGAACCCGACGUGCUGCCUAGAGACUGACUGCCCGCAUGCUGCACUAUUUUUCUUCUCAUAGUAACUUCCAUAUGCAAAAUACGGAACUUCCGUGUCCCAGUUGCUCCAUGUCUGUCUUUAUCACCACCCUACUGCUGGACCGUUCUCCCUCACAUUCCCCAUACUCACAAACAAAGCUCUUUAGGCCUCUCCACACUCAUUUUCUGCUCCAAAAGUAAUCAUUUUCCAGGAUUACUGAGAGAAGGACUAUUCUUUCUGAGUUGGUAAAAUAUCCACUUUGUAAACCAGCAUGUAGCCUUCCCUCAUGACCCAAGCAAGAAAAUAACGAAAAAGUUUUACACUGGCCUAACCUAUUACCUAUUUAUAUGUAAUAUGCUUUAUCUAUCCUACCCAUGAAUAUUUCAUCAGAGAAGUCAAGUAAGCAAAGAAAUCUGUGCAUCCUCUGAGAGUUUUUCUCAUUUACAUAUUAAAUGGUCUGGCCCUCAAUACUGUGAUUUCUCUCUUGAUGUGGCUAUGAUCUUGUUCAUUUACAUUCAAUUAGUGAAUGAUUUGACUGUUUACUAAUGGCACUUACUGAAAAUCUAAAAGAUAUACAUUUCCAUUUUUGUGGACUUUCUCAUUAUUCUAAAUCUAUUUGAAUGAAUGCAAAGUAGGUACAAUGGAGCAGUAGAUGUGGGAAUGGGGGGAUAUUCAGACCUCAUAUAAAUGAUGACCAUUUAUUCAAUAUGUUCAAUGAUUAUGUUAAUUAUAUUUAUAAUCAUAGUUAAUAAGGAUAAAAUAUAUUAUUGGAGGCUAAGUUAUUACAGGCUUUUGAAAUAUUUUAUUGAGUUAAUAUGACUGUAAAACUGAUAUAUGUUUAAUUUUAAAAUGCCAACAGUGUGGUAUUAAACAAAGUAAAAGUUUUUCCUCAUUGGUUUAAGGGUUAAAGAUAGAAUAAGGGUCAAGAAUUUUUUCAAUACACAUUUCUUGGUAAUACGAAAUGUUUUUUAUACUAUAGCAGGGUCCUUUUGGUGUGAUUAUGUAAAAAUAUCUCAGUUUGGAGGUCUACACCAAAAUCACAAGAGUUUCAAUUGCUGUAGUUAUAUAAAGCAAUUUAAUAUCUAGUGGGGCAAAGCUAUACUAUGAAAUAAUUACUGUUAUUUUUUCCUUAGGAUUUUAUUGGUGGAUCUUACUUGCUUAGUCUUCCAGAUAUACUUUAGAAUCAUUUGGUCAAGAAAUGAAUUAAACUUUGACUUUAUGGAAGUAUUAUUUUGGGCAGCUAAGAGAAAUUACAAUAUCUGUAGGCAUGAUCUUUAAACGCAACUCUAUUAAAUGCUAUCGACAUUCUGCUUCAGUGAGGAUCACCAGAUGCUCUGUUGACGUUUAAUGCCUAACAUUUGUCCUCAUGGUAAAUUAGAACUUGUGAACACAGUUGGUGGUUCAUUCUAUUUUUACACUCUAUUUUUUCCAGAAUGUCUGAGAGGUGUGAGCAGGUCAUCCUGAUCCAUCAGCACCUCAUGAAGGUGAGGUGUCAUUAGACCCUCAGUUGACGGCUGCCGUCUUUAUAGGGAUCAUAUGGUAUAAGCUGUUGUCAAGGAAAAGCAUAGAUGUGGAAAGGAGGAACAAACUUUAAACUACAAGUAGGGAGGUGGGCUAUGAAAGACUAAUUUUGGUCUUCCUGCUGGUUAUUCUUUAUUCUUUUAGAAAAUAUAUUCAAACAUAUAUGUACAUGCAGUUUCUGGUUGGCAACACAAACUUACCACCUGUUCACUUGCCUCUUCACCUUUGUCUUAUGUUUUUGUAGGUGGCCAUGAACAGGAACACACUUAAGUUACCUCAUGGUUAUGGAAUUUUAUUUUAAAGAGUCCUGGUGAAAUGAGCAGUCAUUCACCUCUUUCAGGUUCUGAGAAAAUGAGAACCUUGUAGUGGUAGUUAAAUAUAAGGAUGCCCGUUGAAAUAAGAAUGACAGAAAAUAACGAAAGAGUUUUAUACUGAUAUAUAUGUAUUACAUAUUUGAAGUGUGGGUUAUCUGUCCUACCUAUAAAUACUUUCUCACAUAAGCAGAAAACAAAAAUCCUGGGCAUUUUCUGAAAAUAUACAAAGGACAAUUUGCAUAUUAAUCGGUCCACCUCUUGAAUACUAUGAUUUCCCUCUUGACUUUAUCAUGGUCUUAUUCAUUUACAUUCAACGAAUACAUUAUUUGACAGUUUAAUAGAGCUGCUCACUCAGGCUUCAAGGAACUAGAACAGGAUUUAAAGUGGCAUCAGAACACAAUGCCUCCACUCUAAUAUGCUGUCCUAGUAGUGAUUCAAGUUAUCUGCUUUUACUUCUUCUGAGACUAUUGACCCCUUCAGACUAGUUCCCUCUACUCUUCUUUUAUUUAUUUAUUUAUUUAUUUUUAUUAUUAUUAUACUUUAAGUUUUAGGGUACAUGUGCACAAUGUGCAGGUUAGUUACAUAUGUAUACAUGUGCCAUGCUGGUGUGCUGCACCCACUGACUCGUCAUCUAGCAUUAGGUAUAUCUCCCAAUGCUAUCCCUCCCCUCUCCCCACCCCACAACAGGCCCCAGAGUGUGAUGUUCCCCUUCCUGUGUCCAUGCGUUCUCAUUGUUCAAUUCCCACCUAUGAGUGAGAAUAUGCGGUGUUUGGUUUUUUGUCCUUGGCGAUAGUUUACUGAGAAUGAUGAUUUCCAAUUUCAUCCAUGUCCCUACAAAGGACAUGAACUCAUCAUUUUUUAUGGCUGCAUAGUGUCCCAUGGUGUAUAUGUGCCACAUUUUCUUAAUCCAGUCUAUCAUUAUUGGACAUUUGGGUUGGUUCCAAGUCUUUGCUAUUGUGAAUAAUGCCGCAAUAAACAUACGUGUGCAUGUGUCUUUA